GGAGACGUGGCCGAGUGGUUAUGGCGCUGUGUUUAGGUAACAUCACAGUUCCCGCAGUACGAAAGUGCAUGGGUUCGAAUCCCAUCGUCUUCA
rnacentral:tRNA from 1 species